rnacentral:pre_miRNA from 1 species
AGCACACAGGGCAGAGGUCGUGAUAGAAGGCUCGACAGAGAGCCGUCACUACCUGUGCACCUGUGUGCCCA